rnacentral:lncRNA from 10 species
UUAGAAACAGGGUCUCACUCUGUUGCCCAGGCUGGAAUGCAGUGAUGUGAUCAUAGCUCACUGUAGCCUUGAACUCCCAGCCUCAAGCCAUCCUUCCACCUUGGCCUCCCAAGGUGCUUCUGGAAGGCCUAGUUGGUUUCUAGCCCCGGCCUAGGCAGGCGAGAACCCCAGUCUCAGUGAGAGAAUCCUGAAGCUGCUGUCCUUUGAGGGAUCUGGCUCUCUGGAGCCAUUUUGGUUUGGACUCCCCACCGAGAAUAGGACCAUGGCCUUAUUGCCUAUUGCUAUGUGUUACAGGUUAUCUGGAUCCUUCUGGAACAUGAAGUGUGAAGCCCUUUUACACUGUUUUCAGGGGGUGGAGCCCCCUGCAGACUCCUAGCUCAUCUAUGGUUUUAAGAUGGCAUUCCCAGGAGUUUCUGGGACCCUGGCUCUACUGGGGAAACCAUCCAGGAUGCUUACUGAGAGCCUGUCUCAUCUUGUUCAUUGAAUGUUUUUGGGCCCCAUUUAUCCUUUUGAACUGUAACAACUAAAAUCCUGCCCUCUCUUCCAAUAACCUCUUUUCAAACAAUGAACCCCAAGUAUGUCUUUUUUUCCGUUUGUGAGCUGCCAUUAAGAUGUCAUUUCCACUUCAUAUUUCUUUAGUCUCUAAUCAGCUUCUGAAAUCUCUCAUCUCUUUUAAAGGUACCUCUCUUGUCUUCCUUUAUUUUGAUUUCAUUACAAAAAGAAACACUCCCAAUCUGAUAAUAAGAUUGAAGCCUGCUUUUCAAGCCAAACUAGUUUCUCUUUGAUUGUCCAAGCAAAUUGAAUUCCUAGAUACAGAGUAUUCUAGGCACAGACCUUUAAAAAUGCAUUCUUGGCCAGGUGCGGUGGCUCACGCCUGUAAUCCCAGCACUUUGGGAGGCCAAGGCGGGUGGAUCACCUGAGGUCAGGAGUUCAAGACCAGCCUGACCAACAUGGUGAAACCCUGUCUCUACUUAAAAAAAAAAAAUAGCUGGGCGUGGUGGUGCAUGCCUGUAAUCCCAGGUACUCGGGAGGCUGAGGCAGAAGAAUCACUUGAAUCCGGGAGGCAGAGGUUGUGGUGAGCCGAGAUCCUGCCAUUGUACUCCACCCUGGGCAACAAGUGCUAAACUCCAUCUCCAAAAAAGAUCAAAACAACAACAACAAAAAAAUGCAUUCUUAGCUUUUGGACUUGCAGUCAUUUUACUGAGUUGUUUCUUUACUUUAACUGAAGAUUGUGGCCUUUUUUUUAAAAAAAUAAAUGCCCUGAUCAGGCAUUUGUUAAAUGAGAGUACCUACUGAAGAUAAGACACUUUUCUACACACUUGGAAUAUACCAGUGAACAAGGCAAUUCUUUUUGUCUGUCGUUAUUAAUAAAAUAUACUAAUCUUGUGAAAUCACAGUUCACAUGUCUGAAGCGUAAAGUCAGAAUAUAAUAGAACUCAUCAAAGCUGUGCAAUUGAGAUCUCAUGGUUCAUGGACGUGACUUUUAAUAUUCAUUGGUUGAGCAGCACAGUAAUAAGGGCCCAGUCCCUCUCAGAGUCCUUGUUUGGUCUUGAAUUCAGGUAAUGGGAUUUGGGAAGCACAUUUGUCGAAAAUAAGUUAAAGGCAAACAUCACCUAGAGCUCUGUGGCACACAAGGGCUCAAAUGUGUGCAGUGUAAAGUCCCUGUGUCCCAGUCUCCCACCCUUUCAGCGUGGUUGAGAAACAGCACAGGCAGUGAACCACACCCUUACUUCAGCUGACCUGUCUUGCUAAGGCCUGUGCCAACACUCCCGAGCAGCCAGCCUGCUUUCUAAGACUCCGAUUUGUCCUCCUGCUUGUUAAUACCCCAAAUGGCCAGCAUUUGCUGAAUUCCAGCCUGUUAUGAAAUACCAGGAGCUACAGAGACCUGCAAAAGUCAGAAUCCCACGUGAUCGAUAGUCACCAUGGCUUAAGCCAGAGAGCUGCCUGCCUUCGUGGUUGCUGUCUCCUUCCUCUACAUGUUAUUUCAUUCUCCAAGUGCCAGUCCCGUCUAUUUCUUAAGGUUCCCAGUCUGUGCACCAGGUAUUGAAAAUUUAGGGAGUCAAUAAAUAUACUUCUCUUCCUCGCCUGUGUUUGGAUCAAUUGAGAGAGAAAAAAAACAAAAAAGAAAAAACAAAAAAUGUCAGAGUAGAAGAUGUAAUAUAGCUCUGUGGAUAAGUAGGUUUGUUAAUAUUUUACCCCAAAUUACACAUACCCCGCUCCUUCCCAGUGUAGCCAAAACCAGAGCAGAGCCUUGUUCCAGCUUGGGGACCAGGCAGGGCUUGAGCUCUGUGCAAGAGGUGAGUCCAGGCAGGAGAGGGCAGGAACAGGCCAGGUGCUUGCUCCUGUGGGACAAGUGUGACUCCUUCUCUCCAGGGGAGGAAGAGGGGUGGAGAAAGGAGGGAGUGUUAGUCUAAUGGAAGUUCCUCCCCGUGGAGACUGCAGAAAGGCACGUGUAUGUGUGUUGGAGCAGAUGUUUCUCCUAGCAAUUGAUACUCCUCAUAUUGCUCUUCGAAUUUUGAGUUUCAACAUUUGCUUGUCCGUCUCUUCUACUCUCUGAAUGAGGCCCUGUGCAAUUCCUGUUUUCCUCAGUGUCCUGCAUGUAGUAGAAUGACAAAAGUAUGUUGAUGGACCAAAGUAAAGCCAGCCUGCACUAGUGAAACGGAGAGGACAGAUACACAUCUGCCCCUGGUAAAAUGAUCAUGAAGACCACUGUUACAACACAGAAACAGUCUACCUGCUGUCUGCUUCCAGGUUUUUCCUAUCCUCCCGUUGUUGAAGGAAUUUGAAAAUAAAUUUUAUAAAGACAGUUGCAUUCAUGCCCAGUGUUCUUACUUCUCCCAUAGAUGAGUAAGACUGUGGCUUUAGAAAAUGCACAGAGGCCCGUUUUAUAAUAAAAUAUUCUAUUCAAUUCAGAACAAAUAUUCAGUGCCUUAAAUGUAUUUUUAAAGCUUAUUUUUCCCUCCUAUUUCAUCUUGUAAUGAUGUGUGCAGCAAUAAUCGAAGGCUUUUUUGUAUUCGUUUAGUACACCUAGAUGUGUUGCAAGAAUAAUCACUUUUAUUUUGAGAUUUUGAAACACAGGCACUGGUACAGGAUUGGGCAAGGC